rnacentral:rRNA from 1 species
AAUCAACGCUGGCGGCGUGCCUCAGACAUGCAAGUCGAACGAUUAAAGCUCUCUUCGGAGAGUGUAUAGAGUGGCGCACGGGUGAGUAACACGUAAGUAAUCUACCUUUGAGUGGGGAAUAACAGUCGGAAACGACUGCUAAUACCGCAUAAUGCAGCGGCAUCGCAAGAUGACAGUUGUUAAAGGAGCAAUCCGCUUAAAGAGGAGCUUGCGGCAGAUUAGCUAGUUGGUAAGGUAAUGGCUUACCAAGGCUACGAUCUGUAUCCGGUCUAAGAGGACGGUCGGACACACUGACACUGAAUAACGGGUCAGACUCCUACGGAGGCAGCAGUCGGGAA